rnacentral:misc_RNA from 1 species
UUUUCUAUUCAAGGGUUUAGUAGGAUUGGGGGGAUUGUUGUAUGCAGUCACUGUACAACUUACUGUCAACUGGAAAGUGCAAGAACAUCUUCAGUGCACAUUGGAGGACUCUUUCGUGUUCUCACCCUUUUUAUCUUCAUUUUCCUUGCAUUAGUUUGCUUGAACGGUUCAUUGUGUUCUUAUCUGCAUCUGUUAAAUUUUAACUUUGUACCUCUUACAAGAAAAGGGUAAAAAGAUUAGUAA